rfam:Candidatus Thiomargarita nelsonii contig_1878, whole genome shotgun sequence.
GAGAGCGUAAUGCGGUGAAAGCUGCACGUUGCGUUCGGAGGAAGGCUGUUGCUGUCUUAAUGGUUAAGCUUAAGAAGUGGCUGCCCAUCCUAC